rnacentral:rRNA from 1 species
GACGAACGCUGGCGGCGUGCUUAACACAUGCAAGUCGAACGAUGAAGCCGGAGCUUGCUCUGGUGAAUUAGUGGCGAACGGGUGAGUAACACGUGAGUAACCUGCCCUUGACUCUGGGAUAAUCGCGGGAAACUGUAGCUAAUACCGGAUACGACCCUCGGAGGCAUCUCCUGGGGGUGGAAAGAAUUUCGGUCAAGGAUGGACUCGCGGCCCAUCAGCUAGUUGGUGAGGUAAAGGCUCACCAAGGCGACGACGGGUAGCCGGCCUGAGAGGGUGACCGGCCACACUGGGACUGAGACACGGCCCAGACUCCUACGGGAGGCAGCAGUGGGGAAUAUUGCACAAUGGGCGCAAGCCUGAUGCAGCAACGCCGCGUGAGGGAUGACGGCCUUCGGGUUGUAAACCUCUUUUAGCAGGGAAGAAGCGAAAGUGACGGUACCUGCAGAAAAAGCACCGGCUAACUACGUGCCAGCCGCCGCAGUAA